rnacentral:rRNA from 1 species
UACGGAGGGUGCGAGCGUUGUUCGGAAUCACUGGGCGUAAAGGGCGUGUAGGCGGUCCGCUAAGUCUGAUGUGAAAGCCCGGGGCUCACCCCCGGAAGGGCAUUGGAAACUGGCGGACUCGAGUCCCGGAGAGGAAGGUGGAAUUCCUGGUGUAGCGGUGGAAUGCGCAGAUAUCAGGAGGAACACCAAUAGCGAAGGCAGCUCGCUGGGACGGUAUUGACGCUAAGGCGCGAAAGCGUGGGGAGCAAACGGG